GAUGAACGCUGGCGGCGUGCCUAAUACAUGCAAGUCGAGCGAACAGACGAGGAGCUUGCUCCUCUGACGUUAGCGGCGGACGGGCGGGUAACACGUGGAUAACCUACCUAUAAGACUGGGAUAACUUCGGGAAACCGGAGCUAAUACCGGAUAAUAUAUUGAACCGCAUGGUUCAAUAGUGAAAGACGGUUUUGCUGUCACUUAUAGAUGGAUCCGCGCCGCAUUAGCUAGUUGGUAAGGUAACGGCUUACCAAGGCAACGAUGCGUAGCCGACCUGAGAGGGUGAUCGGCCACACUGGAACUGAGACACGGUCCAGACUCCUACGGGAGGCAGCAGUAGGGAAUCUUCCGCAAUGGGCGAAAGCCUGACGGAGCAACGCCGCGUGAGUGAUGAGGGUCUUCGGAUCGUAAAACUCUGUUAUUAGGGAAGAACAAAUGUGUAAGUAACUAUGCACGUCUUGACGGUACCUAAUCAGAAAGCCACGGCUAACUACGUG
rnacentral:rRNA from 1 species